UACGUAGGGCGCGAGCGUUGUCCGGAAUUAUUGGGCGUAAAGAGCUCGUAGGCGGCCUGUUGCGUCCGCUGUGAAAUCCCGCGGCUCAACCGCGGAACUGCCUCGGAUACUGACGGUCUCGAGGGGGGUAGGGCGAGCGGAACUGAUGGUGGAGCGGUGAAAUGCGUUGAUAUCAUCAGGAACACCGGAGGCGAAGGCGGCUCACUGGGGGUCUUCUGACGCUGAGGAACGGAAAGCGUGGGGAGCGAACAGG
rnacentral:rRNA from 1 species